CCUACGGGGGGCAGCAGUGAGGAAUAUUGGUCAAUGGGCGCGAGCCUGAACCAGCAAAGUAGCGUGAAUGAUGACUGCCCUACGGGUUGUAAACUUCUUUUAUAAAGGAAUAAAGUGAGGCACGUGUGCCUUUUUGUAUGUACUUUAUGAAUAAGGAUCGGCUCACUCCGUGCCAGCAGCCGAGGUAAUACGGAGGAUCCGAGCGUUAUCCGGAUUUAUUGGGUUUAAAGGGAGCGUAGAUGGGUUGUUAAGUCAGUUGUGAAAGGUUGCGGCGCAACCGUAAAAUUGCAAUUGAUACUGGCAGUCUUGAGUACAGUUGAGGUAGGCGGAAUUCGUGGUGUAGCGGUGAAAUGCUUAGAGAUCACGAAGAACUCCGAUUGCGAAGGCAGCUUACUAAACUGCCACUGACAUUGAUGCGCGAAAGUGUGGGUAUCAAACAGGAUUAGAUACCCGUGUAGUC
rnacentral:rRNA from 1 species